rfam:Schistosoma margrebowiei strain Zambia genome assembly, scaffold: SMRZ_contig0006937
GUUUAUCUGACAAGUCUUAAAUAGGACGAAACGCGCGUCCCGGAU